rnacentral:lncRNA from 1 species
GGCAGGUGCACAGACAUGCAGUCCAGCUUUCCUACGAGGCAUUUGCUCUUCAAAACCCCGUGGGUGCUGUUUAUCAUGGCAGAAUUAAAAUCUGAGGGCUGCAGCUAAGUCAAUGAAAUCUCACUUAUGCGUUCACUCCACCAUUCUGUUCAUCUGCCAUGGACGUGCCCAGUUUAGUUCUGUGCUCACAGCAGAGGAAUGCCAUCGAGCCUGUGGCCGGUCCCUAAAUAACGGGAGAGCUGAAGCGCCG